UGGGCGAAGGUCACAUCUCACACAGUGGCCUCGACGACGUUGUGCGCGUCGCAAAGAACGGAGGCUUCGUGAUCAUCGUGAUGCGCCAUGAGUUCCUACAGACCGUGCCUUCCUACAAGGACAAGCUGGAGCCUUACAUGGACCAGCUGGAGGCGGACGGGAAGUGGAAGAAGGUGGAGCGGCGCAUCGUCCCAAACUAUUUCUGUGACAAGGAGGGUCUCGUCUUCGUCUUCCGCAUCACUAAGCCUGAGUGAGGAGGAAGAGGAGGGAAGGGAAAGGAGAGAGAUGAAGAGGAGGAGUUAUAGUGGUGCUGUGCCAAGGCCGUCUCUGUGUAACAGCCUUGGCUUUCGUCGCGGCACCCGAGACUGAGGUGUGAAUUAUCGUGGUAUCAUGGCGUAUACGAUGUUAUAUGAUAGUCUACGCAUAGGGCACAUUUGUCAGUAUUAAUCAUAUUAUUGAAAUUGUCGUAAAAAUCUGUUUUAGUUUAUAAGACUGAGGCUGCAGAAUCCUUAACCUCAGACCUUGCUAUCAUCUCCGAUUGGGAUAAAAGGAAACUUUGGGUUUUUGUGUCCUUCAAUGCCUCAAAAACCCAAUUUAUCCACCUUUCAACUCGACACAAUCUUCCAAACACCUAUCCCUUAUUCUUCAACUACACUCAGCUGUCACCUUAUAAUUCUUCAGAACUAAAUAUCCUCGGUCUGUCCUUAACUCAAAAUCUUAACUGGAAACGUCAUACUCUUCUUUCACUAAAUCAGCUUCCUCGAGGUUGGGCGUUCUGUAUCGUGUCCUCCAGUUCUUCUCCCCCGCACAGUUGCUCUACAUAUACAGGGGCCUUGUCCGCCCUCGUAUGGAGUAUCCAUCGCACGUAUGUGGGGGGCUCUACUCACACAGCUCUUCUCUACCUUUCGGCCACUCCUCUGUUGUAAAAAAAAUAACAAGGUCGCUAAUUAUGUAACUGUAUGUGUGUGUGCAUGUGUAAUGGCAAGUUGCCAGAGCACGAUAACGAAGACCUCAGACUCAUGUGCUGCGACUAUAGUAUACGUUUAGGAAUGCUUGGUCUGGGUCUUGGGGUCUUGAUGAUGUACAGACAUGUAUAUAUAUAUAUAUAUAUA